CACAGUUCCAAUUGCAGAAGUCUUCUUGAGCCCAAACCAGAAAACUGUCUAGCAUAGAAGUUGUUCAUAGAAGUUAGCAAUGUUUUAAGAAAUCUCUGAUGAGCAUAUCAAAAAGACAAAUGGACAUCUGAAAGUAUGAAACUGCUGUAAAGCCAAGACUUCAUGUACUUAUUUUGAAGAUGAAAAGUGAAUCUGAGAAUGAAAGUACCACUGCAGGUCACCAGUUCAUAAAUUAUUUCUAUUCAACCUGAAGAAAGAGUUGUGAAGGACAGCCACCUUACAAUCCCAGAAAAGCCUUACCUGAAGAGCAUGUGGCUAUUUUUCACAGAUUUUUAAAGAAUGGUUCUCAAAAUAAGCCAAGAAAUGCCAUGGGCCAUCUCAUAUGU